rnacentral:rRNA from 1 species
UACUUACUGGAGGUCCGAACCCACGCACGUUGAAAAGUGCGGGGAUGAGGUGUGGGUAGCGGAGAAAUUCCAAUCGAACUUGGAGAUAGCUGGUUCUCUCCGAAAUAGCUUUAGGGCUAGCCUCGAGGUAAAGAGUCAUGGAGGUAGAGCACUGUUUGGACUAGGGGCCCUUCUCGGGUUACCGAAUUCAGAUAAACUCCGAAUGCCAUGUACUUAUACUCGGGAGUCAGACUGCGAGUGAUAAGAUCCGUAGUCGAAAGGGAAACAGCCCAGACCACCAGUUAAGGUCCCCAAAUAUAUGUUAAGUGGAAAAGGAUGUGGGGUUGCUUAGACAACCAGGAUGUUGGCUUAGAAGCAGCCACCAUUGAAAGAGUGCGUAAUAGCUCACUGGUCGAGUGACCCCGCGCCGAAAAUGUACCGGGGCUAAACAUAUUACCGAAACUGUGGAUGAACCUCUUUAGAGGUUCGUGGUAGGAGAGCGUUCUAAGGGCGGUGAAGUCAGACCGGAAGGACUGGUGGAGCGCUUAGAAGUGAGAAUGCCGGUAUGAGUAGCGAAAGAAGGGUGAGAAUCCCUUCCACCGAAUAUCUAAGGUUUCCUGAGGAAGGCUCGUCCGCUCAGGGUUAGUCGGGACCUAAGCCGAGGCCGAUAGGCGUAGGCGAUGGACAACAGGUAGAGAUUCCUGUACCAGUGCUAAUUGUUUAACCGAUGGGGUGACACAGAAGGAUAGGGAAUCGCACGAAUGGAAAUGUGCGUCCAAGCAGUGAGUGUGAGAAGUAGGCAAAUCCGCUUCUCGCGAAGCAUGAGCUGUGAUGGGGAAGGAAAUUAAGUACGGAAGUUCCUGAUUUCACGCUGUCAAGAAAAGCCUCUAGGAAGAGUAGUACUGCCCGUACCGCAAACCGACACAGGUAGAUGAGGAGAGAAUCCUAAGGUGAGCGAGAGAACUCUCGUUAAGGAACUCGGCAAAAUGACCCCGUAACUUCGGGAGAAGGGGUGCUCUAUUAGGGUGCAAGCCCGAGAGAGCCGCAGUGAAUAGGCCCAGGCGACUGUUUAGCAAAAACACAGGUCUCUGCAAAACCGUAAGGUGACGUAUAGGGGCUGACGCCUGCCCGGUGCUGGAAGGUUAAGAGGAGUGCUUAGCUUCGGCGAAGGUACGAAUUGAAGCCCCAGUAAACGGCGGCCGUAACUAUAACGGUCCUAAGGUAGCGAAAUUCCUUGUCGGGUAAGUUCCGACCCGCACGAAAGGCGCAACGAUCUGGGCACUGUCUCAACGAGAGACUCGGUGAAAUUAUAGUACCUGUGAAGAUGCAGGUUACCCGCGACAGGACGGAAAGACCCCGUGGAGCUUUACUGCAACCUGAUAUGGAAUGUUUGUACCGCUUGUACAGGAUAGGUAGGAGCCGAAGAGACGUGUGCGCUAGCAUACGAGGAGGCAAUGGUGGGAUACUACCCUGGCUGUAUGACCAUUCUAACCCGCCACGCUUAGCGCGUGGGGAGACAGUGUCAGGUGGGCAGUUUGACUGGGGCGGUCGCCUCCUAAAGAGUAACGGAGGCGCCCAAAGGUUCCCUCAGAAUGGAUGGAAAUCAUUCGCAGAGUGUAAAGGCACAAGGGAGCUUGACUGCGAGACUGACAAGUCGAGCAGGGACGAAAGUCGGGCUUAGUGAUCCGGUGGUUCCGCAUGGAAGGGCCAUCGCUCAACGGAUAAAAGCUACCCCGGGGAUAACAGGCUUAUCUCCCCCAAGAGUCCACAUCGACGGGGAGGUUUGGCACCUCGAUGUCGGCUCGUCGCAUCCUGGGGCUGUAGUCGGUCCCAAGGGUUGGGCUGUUCGCCCAUUAAAGCGGCACGCGAGCUGGGUUCAGAACGUCGUGAGACAGUUCGGUCCCUAUCCGUCGCGGGCGCAGGAAAUUUGAGAGGAGCUGUCCUUAGUACGAGAGGACCGGGAUGGACACACCGCUGGUGUACCAGUUGUUCCGCCAGGAGCAUCGCUGGGUAGCUAUGUGUGGCAGGGAUAAACGCUGAAAGCAUCUAAGCGUGAAGCCCCCCUCAAGAUGAGAUUUCCCAUUUCUUCGGAAAGUAAGAUCCCUGAAAGAUGAUCAGGUAGAUAGGUUUGGAGUGGAAGUGUAGCGAUACAUGGAGCGGACAAAUACUAAUCGAUCGAGGACUUAACCAA